rnacentral:tRNA from 1 species
GGCGGCAUAGCCAAGCGGCAAGGCAAUGGUUUGCAAAACCAUCAUCCCCGGUUCGAAUCCGGGUGCCGCCU